UUGAUGUUACAACUGGGAAACAUUAGAGCUUCUUUUCAAAAGAGUUUUUACGAAGUUGAGCACACGCACAUAAGUCCCUUUUAUGGUUAUUUGCGUGGUUCCGUAUCUCGAGCUGCUUUGAGACGUAUUGCUUGUUUUUACGAAGUUGAGCACACGCACAUAAGUCCCUUUUAUGGUUAUUUGCGUGGUUCCGUAUCUCGAGCUGCUUUGAGACGUAUUGCUGAAGAGUUAUUGAGAGUUGAUUAUGUUGGAACU
rnacentral:lncRNA from 1 species